GGACCGUAGCUCAAUUGGCAAGAGCACUGGAGUACCAAUCUGAAGGCUGCACGUUCGAAUCCUGUCUGCCG
rnacentral:tRNA from 1 species